rnacentral:lncRNA from 1 species
GCAGAGUUGUGUUUCUGUAGAAAGACAGAUCUUAUUACUUUAUCAGGAAAGUUAGAUGAGAUUGAGAUUGAGAUUGGCAAAUGGACAAAAGCUAGUAAAAAAAGAUGACCCUAGAACAUACCUUUUUAACCCCAUCUUACAUUUGUGGAAAAUCAUAGCUUACAGUCUUGGGAAAUUUGGGACAUGAAAAGUUUUCAUGGUAGUUCAUGUAGUGUAUGGGUUGAUGUAAUAGAAUAGUCUGAUAUUAUUCUACAACUACUGAAUCAUUCUCCCUUCAUUUAAACCCCUUUGUUUCACUUAAACAAGAUAAGAGUCUGAAUGGAAGAUCUUGUAGUUUCCAAGGGAUUCUGAGAAAUUUUUGUGUUCAACAUUUGGAAGGCUGUCUACUAUUUCAGUUGAUAUAACUUCUCCCUUUAAAAAAAAAUAUAGAUGUGGAUUUUCUGUAUAGUUCUGUUAUUUCCUUUUACCAAGAUUGUUGACUUUUGUGAUAAAAUUCAUACAAGAUUUUAUUUCUUGGUAACUUUGGCUUAUACAACUAUCUUUAAACCCUUGAGCAAUCUGUAUACAAUGAAGAGGUUUCUGACAUUUAUUCUUACACUCAUUUGUUUGACUUUAGAAUUUAGGCACAUUUACUUCUGUUGUUUUGAAUCUCUUUAGAGCUGCGUGUAGAUAGCUUUUAUUUCUGUGCAUUUAAAAUAAUCCAUUUAGAAAAUAUCUACAUGGUAAAAAUGAGAAGAAAUAGAAAUGUAUUUUUUCAUGAACAUUUUGAUACACAUUUCAUCAAAUUUAUUGAUUAACCAAUUUCUUACACUGGUUAUAAUCAGUAUUUGAUUCAGAGAGAGAGAAACAUUCAUUAUUAUACUGUAUCAUCAUUUUUAUCCCAUCCUUUACAAAUUACCAAGGUUGGGGCUUUCAAAAUUAUACUUUUAUUAUGGAAAAAAAUUUCAGCUACCCCAAAUCAUAAACUUGAACAGAAUUGAAGCAUUUUUUUUAAUUACUUGAAAAGGAAAAUGAAAGCUUAUUGUAGAAUGCUUGUAUUUUCUUUUCUCUCUCUGGAACCAGUAUAUUGCUGGCAGCUAUUG